UGCCAGCAGCCGCGGUAAUACGGGAGUGGCAAGCGUUAUCCGGAAUUAUUGGGCGUAAAGCGCCUGUAGGUGGUUUUUUAAGUCCAUUGUAAAAGCGUUCAGCUCAACUGGAUAUCAGCGAUGGAAACUGAAAGACUUGAGUAUGAGAGGAGUAGAGGGAAUUCUCAGUGGAGCGGUGGAAUGCGUAGAUAUUGAGAAGAACACCAACGGCGAAAGCACUCUGCUGGCUCAUUACUGACACUAAGAGGCGAAAGCCAGGGGAGCGAAAAGGAUUAGAUA
rnacentral:rRNA from 1 species